rnacentral:rRNA from 1 species
AUUGAACGCUGGCGGAAUGCUUUACACAUGCAAGUCGAACGGCAGCACGGACUUCGGUCUGGUGGCGAGUGGCGAACGGGUGAGUAACAUAUCGGAACGUAUCCAAUAAUGGGGGAUAACUAAUCGAAAGGUUGGCUAAUACCGCAUACGCCCUACGGGGGAAAGCUAGGGACCUUCGGGCCUGGCGUUAAUGGAGCGGCCGAUAUCUGAUUAGCUAGUUGGUGAGGUAAAGGCUCACCAAGGCGACGAUCAGUAGCUGGUCUGAGAGGACGACCAGCCACACUGGAACUGAGACACGGUCCAGACUCCUACGGGAGGCAGCAGUGGGGAAUUUUGGACAAUGGGCGCAAGCCUGAUCCAGCCAUUCCGCGUGAGUGAAGAAGGCCUUCGGGUUGUAAAGCUCUUUCGCAAGGGAAGAAAACUUAGCCACUAACAUUGGCUGAGGUUGACGGUACCUUGAUAAGAAGCACCGGCUAACUACGUGCCAGCAGCCGCUGUAAAAC